UGAGGAAUAUUGGUCAAUGGGCGCAGGCCUGAACCAGCCAAGUAGCGUGAAGGAUGACUGCCCUAUGGGUUGUAAACUUCUUUUAUAAAGGAAUAAAGUCGGGUAUGUAUACCCGUUUGCAUGUACUUUAUGAAUAAGGAUCGGCUAACUCCGUGCCAGCAGCCGCGGUAAUACGGAGGAUCCGAGCGUUAUCCGGAUUUAUUGGGUUUAAAGGGAGCGUAGGCGGACGCUUAAGUCAGUUGUGAAAGUUUGCGGCUCAACCGUAAAAUUGCAGUUGAUACUGGGUGUCUUGAGUACAGUAGAGGCAGGCGGAAUUCGUGGUGUAGCGGUGAAAUGCUUAGAUAUCACGAAGAACUCCGAUUGCGAAGGCAGCUUGCUGGACUGUAACUGACGCUGAUGCUCGAAAGUGUGGGUAUCAAACAGGAUUAGAUACCCUGGUAGUCCACACAGUAAACGAUGAAUACUCGCUGUUUGCGAUAUACAGUAAGCGGCCAAGCGAAAGCGUUAAGUAUUCCACCUGGGGAGUACGCCGGCAACGGUGAAACUCAAAGGAAUUGACGGGGGCCCGCACAAGCGGAGGAACAUGUGGUUUAAUUCGAUGAUACGCGAGGAACCUUACCCGGGCUUGAAUUGCAACUGAAUGAUGUGGAGACAUGUCAGCCGCAAGGCAGUUGUGAAGGUGCUGCAUGGUUGUCGUCAGCUCGUGCCGUGAGGUGUCGGCUUAAGUGCCAUAACGAGCGCAACCCUUAUCGAUAGUUACCAUCAGGUUAUGCUGGGGACUCUGUCGAGACUGCCGUCGUAAGAUGUGAGGAAGGUGGGGAUGACGUCAAAUCAGCACGGCCCUUACGUCCGGGGCUACACACGUGUUACAAUGGGGGGUACAGAAGGCAGCUACACGGCGACGUGAUGCUAAUCCCGAAAGCCUCUCUCAGUUCGGAUUGGAGUCUGCAACCCGACUCCAUGAAGCUGGAUUCGCUAGUAAUCGCGCAUCAGCCACGGCGCGGUGAAUACGUUCCC
rnacentral:rRNA from 1 species